UCCCUAACCUCCUUCCGCAGGACGGAGUGCUUCUGAACACACCAACCCGCAGACGCACGCACCCUCAGAACACCCGCACGUCCUCCUGCGCACACGCACGCGCGCCCUUCGGCUGUCCUGGCCCACACGUGCGGACUGCUGCUGCUUCGGCCGUCGGGGGUUCUAGAGCUUGUUCGGCGAAGAUCUUCCAGAGCUGCUGUCCAGAGCCACACCUUCCGUCCCGACUUCAGCGUGGGGCACCGGUGCGGCCCCGGGAGA
rnacentral:lncRNA from 1 species